UGGGAACCUUCCCUAUGGUUCGGAAUAGCCCAGGGAAACUUGGGGUAAUACCGGAUAAGCCCUUCGGGGGAAAGAUUUAUCGCCAUUGGAUGGGCCCGCGUCGGAUUAGCUAGUUGGUGAGGUAACGGCUCACCAAGGCAACGAUCCGUAGCUGGUCUGAGAGGAUGAUCAGCCACACUGGGACUGAGACACGGCCCAGACUCCUACGGGAGGCAG
rnacentral:rRNA from 1 species